AUGUGGAGGCUAUAUACAGGGGGUACCGGUACAGAGUCAAUGUGGAGGCUAUAUACAGGGGGUACCGGUACUGAGUCAAUGUGGAGGCUAUAUACAGGGUGUACCGGUACAGAGUCAAUGUGGAGGCUAUAUACAGGGGGUACCGGUACAGAGUCAAUGUGGAGGCUAUAUACAGGGGGUACCGGUACAGAGUCAAUGUGGAGGCUAUAUACAGGGGGUACCGGUACAGAGUCAGUGUGGAGGCUAUAUACAGGGGGUACCGGUACAGAGUCAAUGUGGAGGCUAUAUACAGGGGGUACCAGUACAGAGUCAGUGUGGAGGCUAUAUACAGGGUAUUACGGUACAGAGUCAAUGUGGAGGCUAUAUACAGGGUAUUACGGUACAGAGUCAAUGUGGAGGCUAUAUACAGGGGGUACCGGUACAGAGUCAAUGUGGAGGCUAUUUACAGGGGGUACCGGUACAGAGUCAAUGUGGAGGCUAUAUACAGGGGGUACCGGUACUGAGUCAAUGUGGAGGCUAUAUACAGGGGGUACCGGUACAGAGUCAAUGUGGAGGCUAUAUACAGGGGGUACCGGUACAGAGUCAAUGUGGAGGCUAUAUACAGGGGGUACCGGUACAGAGUCAAUGUGGAGGCUAUAUACAGGGGGGUACCGGUACAGAGUCAAUGUGGAGGCUAUAUACAGGAGGUACCGGUACAGAGUCAAUGUGGAGGCUAUAUACAGGGGGUACUGGUACAGAGUCAAUGUGGAGGCUAUAUACAGGGG
rnacentral:lncRNA from 1 species